rnacentral:rRNA from 1 species
CCUACGGGUGGCAGCAGUAGGGAAUAUUGCGCAAUGGGGGAAACCCUGAAGCAGCAACGCCGCGUGGAGGAUGAAGGUUUUCGGAUUGUAAACUUCUUUUGUUAGAGAAGAAAAUGACGGUAUCUAACGAAUAAGCACCGGCUAACUCCGUGCCAGCAGCCGCGGUAAUACGGAGGGUGCAAGCGUUACUCGGAAUCACUGGGCGGAAAGAGCGCGUAGGCGGGCAAGCAAGUCAGAUGUGAAAUCCUAUGGCUUAACCAUAGAACUGCAUUUGAAACUGUUAUUCUAGAGUAUGGGAGAGGUAGGUGGAAUUCUUGGUGUAGGGGUGAAAUCCGUAGAGAUCAGGAGGAAUACUCGUGGCGAAGGCGACCUGCUAGAACAUAACUGACGCUGAUGCGCGAAAGCGUGGGGAGCAAACAGGAUUAGAUACCCGAGUAGUC